CCGCGGUCCCACACACGACGCGGGGGGGCCGGGCUGAGCCUCGUGGCUCCAGCUCCUCCCUGCGCUCCUGGGAGUGCUGUGGUGCUCCUGCCGCGGCUGGGCUCACCCCUUAGGAGGGGACGUGCGGGAGCUGCGCUUGUUUAGUCCAGCUCCAGGUUUCUGUAGGAAAGAUAAAGCUAAGAGGGAUCUCAUCAAUACAUGUAAAUAUCGCCAAAGCAGGUGCCAAGGGGAAAGUGCCAGACUUCAGCAGUGCCCAGCGACAGGACGAGGAGCGGCGGGUACAAACUAAAACCCGAAGAGUUCCACCUCAGCAUGUAGAAGAACUUUACACUGAGGAUGGCAGGGCACUGGAACAGCAGCCCAGGGUGGCCAUGGGGUCUCUCCGGAGACAUUCCAAAGCCACCUGGAGGCGUUCCUGUACCACCUGCUCCAGGUGGCCCUGCCACGGGACGGGAUGAUCCCCAGAGGUCCCUUCCGAGCCGAACAGCUCUGAGUCUGUGUGGGUGCUCAGGUGUCCCUGCAGAGAGCGGGACCGAGCGCGUCAAGCCCGUGUGUGUCAGCGAGCUCGGGGUUCCGUGAGGGGCUCAGGGAUCCGUGAGGGGCUCAGGGAUCCGUGAGGGGCUCAGGGAUCUGUGAGGGGUUCGGGGAUCCGUGAGGGGCUCCGAAAUCUGUGAGGGGUUUGGGGAUCCGUGAGGGGUUCAGGAAUCCGUGAGGUGUUCAGGGAUCCGUGAGGGGUUCAGGGAUCCGUGAGGGGUUCAGGGAUUCGUGAGGGGCUCAGGGAUCCGUGAGUGGCUCAGGAAUCCGUGAGGGGUUCAGGAAUCCGUGAGGGGUUCAGGAAUCCAUGAGGGAUUCAGGGAUCCGUGAGGCGCUCCGGGAUCCGUGAGGGGCUCAGGGAUCCAUGACGGGCUCAGGGAUCUGUGAGGGGCUUGGCUGUCCAUGAGGGGUUCAGGAAUUCAUGAGGGGCUCGGAUAUCCGUGAGGGGCUCGGGGAUCUAUGAGGGGCUCAGCUAUCCGUGAGGGGCUCGGGGAUCUAUGAGGGGCUCAGCUAUCCGUGAGGGGCUCGGGGAUCCGAGAGGGGCUCCGCCCGGCUCCAGCCCCCGGGCCAGGGAGAGCAGCGGGCUCGGAGCGCCGGGCACAGCCAGCCCGUGUUUGCUGGCGCACCCUCACCCACCCCUGCACCCAGCCGAAGGGAGCAAGCUAAACCAUCACACAGCCCUCGUGUGCAUAAAUAUACACACAAACAUAUGCAUAUAUAUAUAUAUAUAUAUAUAUAUACAUACAUAUAUAUAUAUAUACACACUCGUAUAUGCGACAAGCAGCUGAGACCUAAACAAGCAUGCUAUAAUGUGGAGUUAUACCAACAGCGAGCAACAGAUGGACAAGACCAAGGAUUCAGUUGCCACCUUUUCCCAUCAGACACACAUGUUUAUUACUAAUCUGUUGGUACCGACAGUUUACAGCAAAUACAUGAGCUUUAUGAGGCACGCAGAUAAGCUCAGUACAUACUUCCAUGGAAAAGAUUUGCUUAACCCUCCUGCCUGAACCCUCUGCAAGAGCAAAUUCUUUUUACUUCAUGACCUCAGACUGAUGUAGCCAUUCUGGAGGCAGUCACCACCUUCCCUGUACAGAAGCAGUAGGGUGAUAUAUUUUACUUCCAGAGAACAGGAUGCCCUGGAAGAACCAAGGUGGUGGUAGUGGAUGCUGUCUUAAUUGUUUGCAAUAUUCCUGACACAACAUUUUCGAAAGGACAGAGGAGAUGAGGUCUGCUGUUGUGUUUUCUUCCCUUCUUCUUGCUCCAGGCCGGUGGGAGCCGGUGGGAUAGAGCGAGCAGUAGCAUCUGUUCCAAGAGCACAUGGGCAAACCCAGGUAAAAGACUCCCAUUGUGUGAAGUGAGGAUAGGAGAGAAUUGAGAGACAGCAAGCUGGGAAUUCAUAAAAUUAAAUGUAUGGACAGUGAGUGUCUUGAGUGGAGUUAGGAGUGGCCACGUAGUCAAAAAAGACAGAAAGAAAGGCUGGUUUUUGGGACUUAGGAGAGUUUUAUUGUAUCCCAGAAGGUCACCAAAAAUGACAUCACUAAGAAUAAGGACCUACAGCCUGCUCUGCAAGCAUCUAUGAGGAGAGGAAACAUCUGAACAUACUCUGGUUAUAAUCUGUCUCACUCUCAUUUCCUCCUUGUCUAAAGCCACCUUGUUUCAUUUGGGGCUGUGAUGAAAUACAGCUUUAGAGUUUAGAAUUCUGUGGUUUUUUUGUGAUGCUUGUGGUAGGAAAAUGGCUCUAAGCAGUUCCACUGCAGAGCUCUGGCUGACCUACAGAUCCUGUAACAGCAAGGAAGAUACAUGUGCUCAUGGUGGACAAGGAAAACUGCUGUCCUUGGUCUGGACAUGACCCAGAGUAGAGAGACAAAAAGAAAAAAAAAAGAAAAAAAAAGAAAAAGUAAUAAGCAGAAAUGAGAAUAUGAUAAACCUAAAGAAGGUGUGUGGAAUAUUUUUCCUGGUUGUGUUGCCUUUAUCACCAAAAUUUGCCUGACUUCUAUAGCUAUAUGUUUGUAAGUAUGAUUCUGUCAGAUCUCUUAAUAAAAUUCUAGAUUUCAUCCUCCA